rnacentral:rRNA from 1 species
GUCUACAGCCAUGCUACCCUGAACAAGCCCGAUCCCAUCUGAUCUCAGAAGCUAAGCAGAGUCAGGUCUGGUUAGUACUUGGAUGGGAGACCACCUAGGAAGAGCAGGUGCUGUAGGCU